AUAUAUAUAUAUAUAUAUAUGUAUAUCCCAGUUGUUUAAGCUGACAAAUAUUUAAAUUUAAAUUAUACAUUAUUUUAUUCAGCUAGUCACAUAUAUUAUUAUUUUUUUUUUUUUUUUUUUUUUUUUCAGGCAUUAAAUAUGAUCUUAGUAUGGAUACAAAACAAAACAUUCGUUGGGCUUAUUGAAAAAUAUAUUCGAAAAAAUAAAUUAUUAUUUAAUGUUCUAAUAAACUUUUGGAAUGAAAUUAAAAUAGAUAAAUGCACUGGAGAUAUAUGUAAUAUAUAUGAGUCUCCCCAAUUGAAGGAUGUUAAAUAUAAAAUAUAUUAUUUAUUAAAAAUAUUAACAAAAAAUUUUACAAAAUAUGUUAAGUAUUUUUUCGAACAUGAUAACAUUUUAUAUAGUUAUAAAUCUAUUCUAACAUUUGAGGAACAAUGUGUGCUUAAUAUUUAUUUAAAAUUGAAAGAAGAAGUUGAAACAAAAAAAUUAAUAAUUUUAGAAGCUGAUAAAGACUUACUUAAUACUAAAAUUCAAACGUUCUCGAAAAAAGUACAAGAAGGACAACAAAAACUAGAAUUGAUGAAAAAUGAGGUUUAUGAAAAAAAUGUGAUUAGUUUAGAACGUUAUUAUGAGUGUGUUCGAGAACAAAAAUAAGUUAUAAAAAGAGGGGAAAUAAAACGUACAUAUGUACAAAAAGUUCGUACA
rnacentral:lncRNA from 1 species